rnacentral:lncRNA from 1 species
UCAGUUUUAUAUUGGUUUCUGUGUAUUUUGUUGAUUUUGUUGUCGGAUUUGGUGGUAUUGGGCAAGGUAUUAGACAUUUUUUCAGUCACACCGUUCCCGUGGUAUUAUGAGCUUAAUCACCGUUAUCACCUCAUCCACCAUCUGCUCAAUGUGUUCAUUGCUGGCAGUGGUUCAGGAGGCAGUGGUUCGAUCCCAGCUGUAGAACGUCACCUGCAGGAAGUAGCAUUGUGAUGGCCAGCCACGUGGCGCGUGUAUCCAGCCACAUUGUCCAGAAACCAUCACAUCAUCUCCAGGUCACUGGUCGCGGGUGCUCGAGCUGACUGUGUCUUCAACGGCUCCACGGUGACCAGCGCCGCCACCGCCGAGACCAUCCGAUUCCUGAAAUGAUAAUGGCCGUACACGAACAAGAGGCUCUAUGCAUCCAGGUGCAAGUCAAGCGCCAUGCUCAGAGGCGUCAUCCGGAGAAGGCCGCACAGUGCACUUUAGGCUGAGCUCGGGUGUAGUGCGCGCUGACGGAUAGGAUGAAAUUACGGGCCGGCCAUCAGAUUUCAGUGCGGGGAUCAAGAUGGUCGGAGCCGACGCGGCUCGGUUGAUGGUGUGUCAGGGUUGAUUGAGAGUGGAGGCGAGACAGCCGGAUGUGAAGGAUACACCGAUACGGGUCUCGACGUCGUCUCGCAAUUUGUGCUAUGUAAUAUGACGGCUAUGCCGUGGUAUCAUUCACUCUCGAUGCGCUAAUAAGUAGUAAAUAGGACAGAGACUGGAAUUAAUAUUAUUAUAUUUGGAUGUAAGGGCCAGGUUUUGGCCAGCGCUAUAUUAGAAAUCGUGAGCGUGCUAGUUGCAAUCAAUCGCGCGCUUCUUGCUGAGCAUCUGUGAGCGAAAAA